rnacentral:rRNA from 1 species
AUUGAACGCUGGCGGCAUGCCUUACACAUGCAAGUCGAACGGUAACAGGUCUUCGGAUGCUGACGAGUGGCGAACGGGUGAGUAAUACAUCGGAACGUGCCUAGUAGUGGGGGAUAACUACUCGAAAGAGUGGCUAAUACCGCAUGAGAUCUACGGAUGAAAGCAGGGGAUCGCAAGACCUUGUGCUUCUAGAGCGGCCGAUGGCAGAUUAGGUAGUUGGUGGGAUAAAAGCUUACCAAGCCGACGAUCUGUAGCUGGUCUGAGAGGACGAUCAGCCACACUGGGACUGAGACACGGCCCAGACUCCUACGGGAGGCAGCAGUGGGGAAUUUUGGACAAUGGGCGCAAGCCUGAUCUAGCAAUGCCGCGUGCAGGAUGAAGGCCUUCGGGUUGUAAACUGCUUUUGUACGGAACGAAAAGCCCUGGAUUAAUACCCUGGGGUCAUGACGGUACCGUAAGAAUAAGCACCGGCUAACUACGUGCCAGCCGCCGCGGUAACAC